GACGGAGGGGGCAAGCGUUGUUCGGAAUUAUUGGGCGUAAAGGGCGCGUAGGCGGCCUGGCAAGUGACGGGUGAAAGCCCUCGGCUCAACCGAGGAACUGCCUGUCAUACUGCCGGGCUUGAGUCCGGGAGAGGUGAGUGGAAUUCCCAGUGUAGCGGUGAAAUGCGUAGAUAUUGGGAGGAACACCAGUGGCGAAGGCGGCUCACUGGACCGGAACUGACGCUGAGGCGCGAAAGCGUGGGGAGCAAACAGG
rnacentral:rRNA from 1 species